rnacentral:rRNA from 1 species
AACGAACGCUGGCGGCAGGCUUAAGACAUGCAAGUCGAGCGCACCCUUCGGGGUGAGCGGCGGACGGGUGAGUAACGCGUGGGAACGUGCCUUUCUCUAAGGAAUAGCCUCUGGAAACGGAGAGUAAUACCUUAUACGCCCUUCGGGGGAAAGAUUUAUCGGAGAGAGAUCGGCCCGCGUUGGAUUAGGUAGUUGGUGGGGUAAUGGCCUACCAAGCCGACGAUCCAUAGCUGGUUUGAGAGGAUGAUCAGCCACACUGGGACUGAGACACGGCCCAGACUCCUACGGGAGGCAGCAGUGAGGAAUCUUGGACAAUGGGGGCAACCCUGAUCCAGCCAUGCCGCGUGAGCGAUGAAGGCCUUAGGGUUGUAAAGCUCUUUCACGGGAAGAUAAUGACGGUA